UACAUGUGGGGCAAGCGUUGUUCGGAAUUACUGGGCAUAAAGGGCGCGCAGGCGGCCCUUGAAGUCAGGCGUGAAAGCCCCGGGCUCAACCUGGGAGGUGCGCUUGAUACUCGAGGGCUUGAGUGCGGGAGAGGAGAGUGGAAUUCCCAGUGUAGAGGUGAAAUGCGUAGAUAUCAGGAGGAACACCUGUGGUGUAGACAGCUUACUGGACCACUUCUGACGCUGAGACACGAAAGCGUGGGUAGCAAACAGG
rnacentral:rRNA from 1 species